rnacentral:sRNA from 1 species
CGGGGACACGUUCACCAGGGAGAUUGAGCCUCAGAAGGCUUGGUUCCUGCCCAGGGAUCCCCAAUGGGCAGGUGGCCGUCCCUAGGUUGGGAGGGGGUUUGUCCACAGGCGCCUGCUCUGUGCUGCUGCGAUGGGGUCUGCGGUGUCCUGGCCUGCACCGUUGGCCUUAACGGGCUAGCAUGGCUGUCAUGUGUGUGGCCGGCCUCUUCUUCAUCCCUGUCAUUGGCCUCACUGGCUUCCAUGUGGUGCUGGUCACUCGGGGGCGCACCACCAACGAGCAGGUGACUGGGAAGUUCCGCGGGGGUGUGAACCCUUUUACCCGAGGCUGCUGUGGGAAUGUGGAGCACGUGCUGUGUAGCCCCCUGGCGCCCCGGUACGUGGUGGAGCCACCCCGGCUGCCGCUCGCGGUGAGUUUGAAGCCGCCUUUCCUUAGGCCUGAACUCCUGGACCGAGCUGCACCGCUCAAGGUCAAGCUUAGUGACAACGGGCUGAAGGCUGGCCUGGGCCGUAGCAAGUCCAAGGGCAGCCUGGACCGGCUGGAUGAGAAGCCACUGGACUUGGGGCCACCACUGCCCCCCAAGAUAGAGGCUGGCACGUUCAGCAGUGACCUGCAGACCCCGCGCCC